GCGCAUGUGGUGUAAUGGUUAGCAUGGAUGCCUUCCAAGCAUUCGACAGAGGUUCCAUUCCUCACAAACGCA
rnacentral:tRNA from 1 species